GAUGAACGCUCGCGGGAGGCCUAACACAUGCAAGCCGAGCGGUAGAGUUUCUUCGGAAACUUGAGAGCGGCGCACGGGUGCGUAACACGUGUGCAACCUACCUUUAUCUGAGGGAUAGCCUUUCGAAAGGAAGAUGAAUACCCCAUAAUAUAAUGAUUGGCAUCAAUGAUUAUGGAAAACUCCGGUGGAUAGAGAUGGGCACGCGCAAGAUUAGAUAGUUGGUGAGGUAACGGCUCACCAAGUCAAUGAUCUUUAGGGGUCCUGAGAGGGAGAUCCCCCACACUGGUACUGAGACACGGACCAGACUCCUACGGGAGGCAGCAGUGAGGAAGAUUGGACAAUGGGUGAGAGCCUGAUCCAGCCAUCCCGCGUGAAGGAUGACGGUCCUAUGGAUUGUAAACUUCUUUUGUACAGGGAUAAACCUACCCUCGUGAGGGUAGCUGAAGGUACUGUACGAAUAAGCACCGGCUAACUCCGUG
rnacentral:rRNA from 1 species